rnacentral:lncRNA from 1 species
AGAAUACAGCUGGAGGACAGAGAAAUUUGGCCUUCUACUUGGAAAAGAUCCAACGUUCCAAAGUAAAAGAUGGAGUUUCCAAAUCA